GUGGCUGUAGUUCAAUCGGUUAGAGCACUGGAUUGUGGUUCCAGGCGUUGGGGGUUCGAGUCCCCUCAGCCACCCCA
rnacentral:tRNA from 1 species